UUUUGUCGGCAGAGAUUGCAAGCCGUAAAGCCUAGAUCUUGAGAGAUUAUUUUGCUUUGGGAAAGAAUUUGAAGGUUCUUGGCAUGUGGAUUCUGCUCACAUUGCGUGAGGAUCUGGAUUUUUGAGCGCAAAUCCAGUGGCUGACAUUUGAAGCUAUUAAGUCGACCAUGGAAUCAGAAGGAGAAACUAAGGGGAAGGUCUUGAAGAAUUUAGGUGGGCAGGUUUGCCAGAUCUGUGGUGAUACUGUUGGCAAAACUGUGGAUGGGAAGCCAUUUGUUGCUUGUGAUGUCUGUGCAUUCCCUGUAUGCAGGCCAUGUUAUGAAUAUGAGAGGAAGGAUGGAAAUCAGUCUUGCCCUCAGUGCAAAACCAGAUACAAGAGACAUAAAGGAAGCCCUGAAAUUGAUGGUGAUGGAGAGGAGGAUGGUUCUGCUGAUGAUAAUGUAAGUGAUGUUCGUUACUCUGCAGAAACUCAAAAUGAGAAGCAAAAGGUUGCCGAGCGCAUGUUGAGCUGGCAUAUGACUUACGGAUGUGGUGAAGAUGUUGAGUUACCGAAAUAUGAUAAAGAAGUAUCCAACAAUAACAUUCCUUUGCUAACAAAUGGAACAGAUGUUUCUGGGGAGUUGUCUCAAGCAUCUCUUGGACGCCUGUCAAUGGCAUCGCCAGGCCAUCCUGGUGGUGUUAAACGCAUCCAUCAGCUUCCUUACGGGUCUGACAUGAAUCAAUCACCUAAUAUACGGGUUGUGGAUCCUGUAAGAGAGUUUCGUUCUCCAGGGUUGGGAAAUGUUGCCUGGAAAGAGAGAGUGGAUGGAUGGAAAAUGAAGCAGGAGAAGAACGUUGUUCCGAUGACCACUAGCCAUCCUCCUUCUGAAAGAGGAGUGGGAGAUAUUGAUGCGAACACAGAUGUGUUGGUGGAUGAUUCUCUACUGAAUGAUGAAGCUCGUCAGCCUCUUUCGAGAAAGGUUUCUAUUCCGUCAUCCAGGAUUAAUCCUUACAGGAUGGUUAUUGUCCUCCGGCUAGCUAUUCUUUGCAUUUUCUUGCACUACCGAAUAACAAAUCCUGUGUCCAAUGCGUAUCCUCUUUGGCUGAUGUCUGUGAUAUGUGAGAUUUGGUUUGCUAUCUCUUGGAUUUUGGAUCAGUUCCCGAAGUGGCUUCCUGUGAAUUGAGAAACAUACCUUGACAGGCUUGCACUUAGAUAUGAUCGUGAAGGGGAGCCAUCUCAAUUAGCUGCUGUUGAUAUUUUUGUCAGUACUGUUGAUCCUCUGAAGGAGCCUCCUCUUGUUACAGCCAAUACUGUCCUGUCCAUUCUUGCAGUUGACUAUCCAGUUGACAAGGUGUCAUGCUAUGUCUCCGAUGAUGGUGCAGCUAUGUUGACAUUUGAAGCUCUAUCAGAAACAUCAGAAUUUGCAAGAAAAUGGGUUCCUUUCUGCAAAAAGUACAGCAUUGAACCAAGGGCUCCAGAGUGGUAUUUUACCCAGAAGAUCGAUUAUUUGAAAGAUAAAGUUCACCCUUCAUUUGCGAAAGAUCGUAGGGCCAUGAAGAGAGAGUAUGAGGAGUUCAAAAUACAUAUCAACGCGCUAGUUGCUAAAGCCCAGAAAGUUCCUGAAGAAGGAUGGAUCAUGCAAGAUGGUACACCUUGGCCUGGAAAUAACACUAGGGAUCAUCCAGGCAUGAUUCAGGUUUUCUUGGGGCAAAGUGGAGGUCUUGACAGCGAGGGUAAAUAACUGCCUAGAUUAGUCUAUGUUUCUCGUGAGAAGCGUCCAGGCUUCCAACAUCACAAGAAAGCUGGUGCUAUGAAUGCUCUUGUUCGUGUUUCUGCUGUUCUUACAAAUGGACCUUUCUUGUUGAAUCUUGAUUGUGAUCACUAUGUAAACAACAGCAAGGCUUUGCGAGAAGCAAUGUGCUUUCUGAUGGAUCCCAACCUUGGAAAAUAUGUUUGUUAUGUUCAAUUUCCACAGAGAUUUGAUGGUAUUGAUAGGAGUGAUCGUUAUGCAAAUCGAAACACUGUGUUCUUUGAUAUAAACUUGAGAGGUUUGGAUGGCAUUCAAGGACCAGUUUAUGUGGGUACUGGAUGUGUCUUUAACAGAACAGCUCUGUAUGGUUAUGAGCCUCCUCACAAACCUAAGCACAAAAAACCAGGUCUAUUUUCUUCUUGCUUCGGUAGAUCAAAAAAGAACAGUUCUAAGUCAAGUAAGAAGGGAUCGGACAAAAAGAAGUCUAGCAAGCAUGUUGAUCCUACUGUGCCCAUCUUCAGCUUGGAGGAUAUAGACUAUAGAGGAAGGAGUUGAAGGUGCUGGAUUUGAUGAUGAGAAGUCACUGUUAAUGUCAUAAAUGAGCCUUGAGAAGAGAUUUGGUCAGUCUGCCGUUUUUGUUGCUUCAACUCUUAUGGAGAAUGGUGGUGUCCCUCAGUCUGCUACACCAGAGACACUUCUCAAAGGAAGCAAUUCAUGUGAUUAGUUGUGGAUAUGAGGAUAAAACAGAAUGGGGAAGUGAGAUUGGGUGGAUUUAUGGUUCCGUCACAGAAGAUAUUCUCACAGGAUUCAAGAUGCAUGCCCGUGGCUGGCGUUCAGUUUACUGCAUGCCUCAGAGGCCCGCAUUCAAGGGGUCAGCUCCAAUCAAUCUUUCUGAUCGUCUGAGCCAGGUGCUUCGAUGGGCUUUAGGAUCCGUGGAAAUUCUUUUCAGCCGGCAUUGCCCCAUAUGGUAUGGGUAUGGUGGAAGGCUGAAGUGGCUAGAGAGAUUUGCAUAUGUCAAUACAACCAUUUACCCAGUCACUGCCAUUCCUCUCCUUAUCUAUUGUACUUUGCCUGCUGUCUGUCUACUUACUGGGAAGUUUAUUAUUCCACAGAUUAGUAACUUUGCCAGCAUAUGGUUUAUAUCCCUCUUUCUUUCAAUCUUUGCCACUGGUAUUCUUGAGAUGCGUUGGAGUGGUGUCGGCAUUGAUGAAUGGUGGAGGAAUGAACAGUUUUGGGUCAUUGGUGGUGUGUCUGCUCAUCUCUUCGCUGUCGUCCAAGGGUUGCUCAAGGUGCUUGCUGGAAUUGAUACCAACUUCACAGUCACAUCCAAGGCAUCAGAUGAGGAUGGCGAUUUUGCAGAACUCUACAUGUUCAAAUGGACAACCCUUCUGAUACCCCCCGCAACUCUCCUCAUUGUAAACUUGGUUGGUGUUGUUGCAGGCAUUUCCUAUGCAAUCAACAGUGGAUACCAGUCUUGGGGUCCCCUCUUUGGAAAGCUAUUCUUUGCCUUCUGGGUGAUCGUUCAUCUCUAUCCUUUCCUCAAAGGUUUGAUGGGUCGCCAAAACCGGACACCUACCAUUGUGGUCGUGUGGUCAAUCCUUCUUGCUUCCAGCUUCUCUUUGUUGUGGGUGCGGAUUGAUCCCUUCACCACCAGAGUUACUGGCCCGGAUGUUGAGCAGUGUGGAAUUAACUGUUAAUAAAUCGAGAUCUCGAACAACAAACUUCAUUCCAGACAAACCCUUUAGUGAAUAAGGGGUUGGUUUUUAUUGGCCAGGCUUGGCCGUGUACCUGUUUUGUCUGUGAAGUCAUACAUUUUGUGCAGAAAUUAGUAGUAAUAUACACUGUUCCAAAGAUGUGCCAUGAACAGACGAGUAAAUUUUGUUGGUUAAGCUUUCUUGAAAGGAGAGAUUGCCCAGACCUGUUUAUUGUAUUUGUUUUUCUAAGCCCACUUCAUACCCAACUGAUAGUAAGCACCCUUGUAAUUUAGUGCAUGCACUAGGCAGUUCAUUUAUUCAGUAAUGUAAAGUCAUUCAUUUGUUCAGCA